AGUGAACGCUGGCGGUAGGCCUAACACAUGCAAGUCGAACGACAGCACAGUAAGAGCUUGCUCUUACGGGUGGCGAGUGGCGGACGGGUGAGGAAUACAUCGGAAUCUACUUUUUCGUGGGGGAUAACGUAGGGAAACUUACGCUAAUAACGCAUACGACCUACGGGUGAAAGCAGGGGAUCUUCGGACCUUGCGCGAUUGAAUGAGCCGAUGUCGGAUUAGCUAGUUGGCGGGGUAAAGGCCAACCAAGGCGACGAUCCGUAGCUGGUCUGAGAGGAUGAUUCCCCACCCUGUAUCUGAGACACGGUCCCGACUCCUACGGUAGGCAGCAGUCGGGAAUCUUGCACGAUGGGCGCAAGCCUGAUCCAGCCAUACCGCGUGGGUCAAGAAGGCCUUCUGGUUGUAAAGCCCUUUUGUUGUGAAAGAAAAGCAGCACGUUAAUACCCCGCUGUUCUGACGGUACCCAAAGAAUAAGCACCGGCUAACUUCGUG
rnacentral:rRNA from 1 species